GACGAACCACACAAACGUUAUUCGGAAUUACUGGGCUUAAAGGGUGCGUAGGCGGCGCGGAAAGUAGGGUGUGAAAUCCCUCAGCUCAACUGAGGAACUGCGCUCUAAACUACCGUGCUUGAGGGAGAUAGAGGUGAGCGGAACUUAGGGUGGAGCGGUGAAAUGCGUUGAUAUCCUAAGGAACACCGGUGGCGAAAGCGGCUCACUGGAUCUCUUCUGACGCUGAGGCACGAAAGCUAGGGGAGCGAACGGG
rnacentral:rRNA from 1 species